GGGACUAUAGUUAACAAUAACAUUUGAUUUGCACUCAAAAAGUACUAUUUAAUAGUUAGCCUCA
rnacentral:tRNA from 1 species